UCCAUUUUCACUUUUUAUAGAAAGAAAGUAAAAUUCUAGGGAGAGAAAAUGAAGUUCUAGAGAGAGAAAGUAAGGAAGAAGCCCGUAGGAGUCACUGAAGGAGUCCUAGAUGCAAAACACCCUUCCAUUCCACUUCUAGAAGCCCGGUUACUCGCCAAGUAUCGAUGAUGGUAUUGAUGGGUCGAAUGCAAUGGUACUCCUUGAAGCUUACUUUGACCCCUCUUCGGAUCCCUAGAGUAUUUAUGAAUGCUUAUUUUGUCCGCACUCUUAUGAAUAAUAAUUUUGUAAUUAAGUAAUUUUUGUUUAUGUAUUUCUAUUCAACGACUCCUUGUUGGUCUUAGAUGUAUAAACACUUAUCCUAUAUUUUGGUUGUAAGGGAUUUCAAGUUUCUAAUGCACACAUUUUUUUUAUUGCA